rnacentral:lncRNA from 1 species
CUCGCGCGAGAAGCUAGGCAUUGCCAAGCGCAGGGCUGGUGGAUUUACUCGGGAUCAUUUGCACUCUGCGUGGUUGGCACGGCUAACUUUCCCCCUCCCCACACCUUCACUCCUUCAACUUCUUUGCCUUUCCCAACUGCGCGCUUUCCUCUGGGUUUUCCAUCCGGUGGCUUAGUCGACCUCAACAAAGAAACCUCUCUCUCUCUCUCUCUCUCUCUCCCUCCCUCCCUCCCUCUCCUUUAAUUCACGAAUUGGGUCCAGGUGCCGCUAUUUGCAAGGGGAACGCGCCACCUGCUGUUCUAACUGGGAGAGACAGGAAGGCUUCGCUACUGUAUAUUGAACUGCAAGCCUAAGGUCGCUGUUGGAGCGGAAAAAACGCUACUUAUCCUUCGGACAGUCAAUGAGAUUCGCAAUGAAAUCGAUUCAGAUAAAUCAACUAGCUUGCAUUCAACAGAUAAACCAAUAAAACAGGAUCGUGUUGGUGAAAAAAACUUAGAACAAGGUCAAGAAACCUUAACCUUAAAGAAAGAAAUCCUCAUCAUUAAGCAGAGCAACCAGUAUUUAGAAUGGAAAAUGGCCAACGUAACAGAACAACUUGAAAAAAGGCGAAAUCAAGGACUUCCAGGACCUCCCGGUGAGUGCAUUUAUUCCAAUCAUCUUUUAA